rnacentral:tRNA from 1 species
UCUCUGGUGGUCCAGUGUUAGGAUGUAGCAUUUGCACUGCUAGGGGGUCCAGGUUCAACCCCUGGUCGGGGAA